AGAGUUUGAUCCUGGCUCACGACGAACGCUGGCGGCGCGCCUAACACAUGCAAGUCGAACGAGCGAGAGAGAGCUUGCUUUCUCAAGCGAGUGGCGAACGGGUGAGUAACGCGUGAGGAACCUGCCUCAAAGAGGGGGACAACAGUUGGAAACGACUGCUAAUACCGCAUAAGCCCACAGCUCGGCAUCGAGCAGAGGGAAAAGGAGCAAUCCGCUUUGAGAUGGCCUCGCGUCCGAUUAGCUGGUUGGUGAGGUAAUGGCCCACCAAGGCGACGAUCGGUAGCCGGACUGAGAGGUUGAACGGCCACAUUGGGACUGAGACACGGCCCAGACUCCUACGGGAGGCAGCAGUGGGGAAUAUUGCACAAUGGGGGAAACCCUGAUGCAGCGACGCCGCGUGGAGGAAGAAGGUCUUCGGAUUGUAAACUCCUGUUGUUGAGGAAGAUAAUGACGGUACUCAACAAGGAAGUGACGGCUAACUACGUGCCAGCAGCCGCGGUAAAACGUAGGUCACAAGCGUUGUCCGGAAUUACUGGGUGUAAAGGGAGCGCAGGCGGGAAGACAAGUUGGAAGUGAAAUCUAUGGGCUCAACCCAUAAACUGCUUUCAAAACUGUUUUUCUUGAGUAGUGCAGAGGUAGGCGGAAUUCCCGGUGUAGCGGUGGAAUGCGUAGAUAUCGGGAGGAACACCAGUGGCGAAGGCGGCCUACUGGGCACCAACUGACGCUGAGGCUCGAAAGUGUGGGUAGCAAACAGGAUUAGAUACCCUGGUAGUCCACACCGUAAACGAUGAUUACUAGGUGUUGGAGGAUUGACCCCUUCAGUGCCGCAGUUAACACAAUAAGUAAUCCACCUGGGGAGUACGACCGCAAGGUUGAAACUCAAAGGAAUUGACGGGGGCCCGCACAAGCAGUGGAGUAUGUGGUUUAAUUCGACGCAACGCGAAGAACCUUACCAAGUCUUGACAUCCUGCGACGCACAUAGAAAUAUGUGUUUCCUUCGGGACGCAGAGACAGGUGGUGCAUGGUUGUCGUCAGCUCGUGUCGUGAGAUGUUGGGUUAAGUCCCGCAACGAGCGCAACCCUUACUGUCAGUUACUACGCAAGAGGACUCUGGCAGGACUGCCGUUGACAAAACGGAGGAAGGUGGGGAUGACGUCAAAUCAUCAUGCCCUUUAUGACUUGGGCUACACACGUACUACAAUGGCGUUAAACAAAGAGAAGCAAGACCGCGAGGUGGAGCAAAACUCAGAAACAACGUCCCAGUUCGGACUGCAGGCUGCAACUCGCCUGCACGAAGUCGGAAUUGCUAGUAAUCGUGGAUCAGCAUGCCACGGUGAAUACGUUCCCGGGCUAUUGUACACAGCGCCCGUC
rnacentral:rRNA from 1 species